UCAAGAACACUGUGUUGGUAACGACACACUAGCAAAUAAACAGCCAACAGCCAUCCGACUACAUCAUCUGGUGUCCCAGGCACAGAACCCUCGCCUCCAUCAACUACAUGGAUUUCAAAAGCCACCCACGCUAUCGUGGUGUUAAAAAAAAAAAAAAAGAAAAAAGGCAAUUAGAGUUCUGCCGCGGCAAUCCCCACAAUUAUUCUUUGGAAAUAAACAAACAAGGUCAGGAAAAUAAUACCCAACCUUGGGAGGAUUUAGUCAUGCGUUCAACAAACAUUUACGGAGACUCUACUAUGUGCCAGGCACGGCAGACGACGCUGAGAGACAUCCAUAAACAACAUUUAAAGUUGGAAGAUGGGCUGUAUGAAGCUCUGAACACCAGAAACACGAUCAUCCAGGGAGGUUUCAUCGCAAGAAAACCAAAGGAUCCUGGGUUUGGAAAGUGAAGACUGCAGUUCCCCCAAACACAAGCAAAGACUUCCCAUACCCAACACUGUUAGAGAGCAAAAUUUCAAUACACAUGGAAAUUUACAUUUAAUUUCAAUGUCUGAGCAAAACUCUACAAACUACAAUUUGGUUUCCGCAUUCAUUCUCUGACUGUUGUUCAUUCUCUGACUAGGGAAAGUCAACCUCACUUUGUUUACCAAGAUCCUGCCACCACUGGGCCCCAUGGGCCAUCCACACAGAUCUGGGGCCCAGGAAGAGGUUUCAGGGUUUGCUCAGUUCCAAAAGACAAAGUCAGGACCACAGGUCACCAAGGUAUACCCUCUUCCUAUCAGCCAAUUAUCCCAACGCCACAGAUAAAUUAUUCUGGCUUUUCCAGGAGAGCUCAGACUGUACAUAGUUUUAUUUUCCGCAAAGGUCAUUCGCAAGACUGUAUAAGAAAAUGGAAUUGCAUUGUUCCACCUCUGUAAGGCUGACGG